UACGUAGGGCGCAAGCGUUAUCCGGAUUUAUUGGGCGUAAAGAGCUCGUAGGCGGUUUGUCGCGUCGGCCGUGAAAUCUCCACGCUUAACGUGGAGCGUGCGGUCGAUACGGGCAGACUUGAGUUCGGUAGGGGGAGACUGGAAUUCCUGGUGUAGCGGUGAAAUGCGUAGAGAUCAGGAGGAACACCCGUGGCGAAGGCGGCCCCCUGGGUCGGCCCUGACGCUGAGGCGCGAAAGCGUGGGGAGCGAACAGGAUGAGAUACCUAGUAGUCAG
rnacentral:rRNA from 1 species